UGAUAACAUAAGGGAAAAUAAUGAUAUUACCUUAUUAUUAGUGUCGUCCAAAUCUGGUGCCAGAAGACUCGGUAAGGCCAGAGACACAAACGUUAAUCGUCUUAAUCAGGCGUAAAGGGUUUGUAGGCGGCUUUAAAAUUAUUAACACAAAUUUUAUUUUUAUUAAUAAUUAAAGAAUAAAAGCUAGAAUCAAAAAGAGGAUAUAUUAAAGAAUGUUUAGAGUAGGUCUGAUAUCCAUAGAUACUAAGUAGAAUAUUAAAGGCGAAAGCUUUUUUCCAUUAAUGAUUGACGCUCAGAAACGAAGGUGAGGAUCGGAAAUAGGAUUAGAUACCCAG
rnacentral:rRNA from 1 species